CCCACCAUAGUUUAUAUAAAACUUCGACUUGCAAAAUCGAAAAUGGAACAAUUUUUCCUGGUGUGU
rnacentral:tRNA from 1 species